rnacentral:rRNA from 1 species
CACUUGUUCCCUAAAUAGGGACUUGUAUGAAUGGCCACACGAGGGUUUUACUGUCUCUUACUUCCAAUCAGUGAAAUUGACCUUCCCGUGAAGAGGCGGGAAUGACUAAAUAAGACGAGAAGACCCUAUGGAGCUUUAAUUAACUGAUUCACAAAAAACAACACACAAACCUAACCUUCAGGGACAACAAAACUUUUGAUUGAAUCAGCAAUUUCGGUUGGGGUGACCUCGGAGAACAAAACAACCUCCGAGUGAUUUAAAUCCAGACUAACCAGUCAAAAUAUAUAAUCACUUAUUGAUCCAAACCAUUGAUCAACGGAACAAGUUACCCUAGGGAUAACAGCGCAAUCCUAUUCCAGAGUCCAUAUCGACAAUUAGGGUUUACGACCUCGAUGUUGGAUCAAGACAUCCUAAUGGUGCAACCGCUAUUAAGGGUUCGUUUGUUCAACGAUAAAGUCUU